CUACGGAAUGCAGCAGUGGGGAAUAUUGCACAAUGGGGGAAACCCUGACGCAGCAACGCCGCGUGAAUGAUGAAGGCCUUCGGGUUGUAAAGUUCUGUCUUCUGGGACGAUAAUGACGGUACCAGAGGAGGAAGCCACGGCUAACUACGUGCCAGCAGCCGCGGUAAU
rnacentral:rRNA from 1 species